rnacentral:rRNA from 1 species
GUAGGGGGCAAGCGUUAUCCGGAUUUACUGGGUGUAAAGGGAGCGUAGACGGAUGGACAAGUCUGAUGUGAAAGGCUGGGGCUCAACCCCGGGACUGCAUUGGAAACUGCCCGUCUUGAGUGCCGGAGAGGUAAGCGGAAUUCCUAGUGUAGCGGUGAAAUGCGUAGAUAUUAGGAGGACCACCAGUGGCGAAGGCGGCUUGCUGGACGACAACUGACGCUGAGGCGCGAAAGCGUGGGGAGCAAACAGGAUUAGAUACCCUGGUAGUCCACGCUGUAAACGAUGAAUACUAGGUGUGGGAGGACUGACCCCUUCCGUGCCGCAGUUAACACAAUAAGUAUCCCACCUGGGGAGU